UACGUAGGGGGCAAGCGUUGUCCGGAAUCAUUGGGCGUAAAGCGCGUGUAGGCGGUCCGGUAAGUCCGCUGUGAAAGUCGGGGGCUCAACCCUCGGAUGCCGGUGGAUACUGUCGGGCUUGAGUACGGAAGAGGCGAGUGGAAUUCCUGGUGUAGCGGUGAAAUGCGCAGAUAUCAGGAAGAACACCUAUGGCGAAGGCAGCUCUCUGGGACGGUACUGACGCUGAGACGCGAAAGCGUGGGGAGCGAACAGG
rnacentral:rRNA from 1 species